rnacentral:siRNA from 1 species
CGUUGAAGGCCCUACUAUUCC